AUACAUGCAGUCGAGCGAAUGGAUUAAGAGCUUGCUCUUAUGAAGUUAGCGGCGGACGGGUGAGUAACACGUGGGUAACCUGCCCAUAAGACUGGGAUAACUCCGGGAAACCGGGGCUAAUACCGGAUAACAUUUUGAACCGCAUGGUUCGAAAUUGAAAGGCGGCUUCGGCUGUCACUUAUGGAUGGACCCGCGUCGCAUUAGCUAGUUGGUGAGGUAACGGCUCACCAAGGCAACGAUGCGUAGCCGACCUGAGAGGGUGAUCGGCCACACUGGGACUGAGACACGGCCCAGACUCCUACGGGAGGCAGCAGUAGGGAAUCUUCCGCAAUGGACGAAAGUCUGACGGAGCAACGCCGCGUGAGUGAUGAAGGCUUUCGGGUCGUAAAACUCUGUUGUUAGGGAAGAACAAGUGCUAGUUGAAUAAGCUGGCACCUUGACGGUACCUAACCAGAAAGCCACGGCUAACUACGUGCCAGCAGCCGCGGUAAUACGUAGGUGGCAAGCGUUAUCCGGAAUUAUUGGGCGUAAAGCGCGCGCAGGUGGUUUCUUAAGUCUGAUGUGAAAGCCCACGGCUCAACCGUGGAGGGUCAUUGGAAACUGGGAGACUUGAGUGCAGAAGAGGAAAGUGGAAUUCCAUGUGUAGCGGUGAAAUGCGUAGAGAUAUGGAGGAACACCAGUGGCGAAGGCGACUUUCUGGUCUGUAACUGACACUGAGGCGCGAAAGCGUGGGGAGCAAACAGGAUUAG
rnacentral:rRNA from 1 species